rnacentral:rRNA from 1 species
UACGGAGGGUGCAAGCGUUAUCCGGAUUCACUGGGUUUAAAGGGUGCGUAGGUGGCUUUGUAAGUCAGUGGUGAAAUGCCGGAGCUUAACUCCGGAACUGCCAUUGAUACUGCUUAGCUUGAAUCACGUCGAGGUGGAUGGAAUAUUACAUGUAGCGGUGAAAUGCUUAGAUAUGUAAUAGAACACCGAUUGCGAAGGCAGUUCACUAGGCGUGUAUUGACACUGAGGCACGAAAGCGUGGGGGAUCAAACAGG